rnacentral:rRNA from 1 species
GAUGAACGCUGGCGGCGUGCCUAAUACAUGCAAGUCGAGCGAACAGACGAGGAUCUUGCUCCUCUUACGUUAGCGGCGGACGGGUGAGUAACACGUGGAUAACCUACCUAUAAGACUGGGAUAACUUCGGGAAACCGGAGCUAAUACCGGAUAAUCUAUUGAACCGCAUGGUUCAAUAGUGAAAGACGGUUUUGCUGUCACUUAUAGAUGUAUCCGCGCCGCAUUAGCUAGUUGGUAAGGUAACGGCUUACCAAGGCAACGAUGCGUAGCCGACCUGAGAGGGUGAUCGGCCACACUGGAACUGAGACACGGUCCAGACUCCUACGGGAGGCAGCAGUAGGGAAUCUUCCGCAAUGGGCGAAAGCCUGACGGAGCAACGCCGCGUGAAUGAUGAAGGUCUUCGGAUCGUAAAACUCUGUUAUUAGGGAAGAACAAAUGUGUAAGUAACUAUGCACGUCUUGACGGUACCUAAUCAGAAAGCCACGGCUAACUACGUG